rnacentral:rRNA from 1 species
AUUGAACGCUGGCUGCCGGCCUAACACAUUCAAGUCGAGCGGAGCGGCGGACGGGUGAGUAAUGCCUAGGACUCUGCCUGGUAGUGGGGGUUAACGUCCGGAAACGGGCGCUAAUACCGCAUACUAUCAGAUGAGCCUAGAUCGGAUUAGCUAGUUGGUGGGGUAAAGGCCUACAAAGGCGACGAUCCGUAACUGGUAUGAGCGGAUUAUCAUUACCACUUGAACUGAGACACGGUCCCGACGCCUACGGGAGGCAGCAAUGUGGAAUAUUGAACAAGGGGCGAGAGCCUGAUCCAGCCAUGCCGCGUGUGUGAAGAAGGUCUUGGGAUUGUAAAGCACUUUAAGUUGGGAGGCGUUACCAACAGAAUAAGCACCGGCUAACUUCGUGCCAGCAGCCGCGGUAAUUC